CGAAUUAUCUAUUUUUGAAUGUUGAUUCAAAACUAAACGACAAAUUAAUAACUUUAUUUUAAAUUGUAAUGUAGUAGAGAUACUAUUGAGUGUUACCCACUCGUACAAAAUAUUAAUAUUCAUCUUUGUUGGUUGGUUUAAUAGAGCCGCUUAUAAAUGAAAUAAAAGUUUGAAAAAAAUUGUGACAUACCAAAUGCACUUAUGUUAAAGAAUUUUUUAAAUCUUCAAGAUAUUAGAAAAUCAGCCCCAACUAGUUCCCUUUUUAUUAACACCAAAACUGGGAACAAACUGUUUUUCAAGUUUCUACAUAAUUCAUACAUGCCCAUAACGAUCGGACUAGACUUUAAAAUAAGAAGGAAAUCCUUCAACCUGCUGCAUCCGCGUUUCUAUCGUCUCGCGAGCGUAUCUCUCCCUUAUAAGUCAAAUAACACAUGGCAAGCCAUUGUCUGGCAUACCUUUUCGAGCUUGAAUUCACAGUAUGCUUGCAUUUACGGAAAUAAUAUUGGAGAAAUGAGAGCAAGAAGAAAGAAAGGCAAAGAACAGAAGAAUUUACAAUUACAAACCAUGCGACGAGAUCGCCGGACGCUUUGUCGUUGUUGUUUCGUGGAAAUCAUUCUCCAAGUCUCGAGCCUCGAAUGCUGUAUCUUCGGUGACUGAAAAAGAGAUGAAAGCGUGAUCAAAGUGGAAGUAAUUUGAUCCGCGAUCAGAUUCUCAGGUUUAGGACAAGGAUUACUGUUUCCGGUUCUUGUAAGACUGCGAAAUAUUGAUACUAAAGACGUAAUGUACGUUUACGAUGUGCAGCAUUUCGUUUGACGCUAUUACAUACCGUUGCGUACUGUUUGAAAAGAAAUUUGAUCCCGUAAUAAAUUUAUUCAAUGAUCGCCUCUUUCUGCCUUAUAGAGCAAGUGGCAGUGCCUUUAUUACGAUGGUUUAGUUCUAUCUGUAGUUUAUGAUUAAAGUUAAUGGAAACAAUAUAAUACUUUGAUAUUCUAUUAUAGUAAGAAUGGAUGUAGUAAAUUAAUAAAAAUGGUUUGAAAUUA